rnacentral:rRNA from 1 species
GAUGAACGCUGGCGGCGUGCCUAAUACAUGCAAGUCGAGCGAACGGACGAGAAGCUUGCUUCUCUGAUGUUAGCGGCGGACGGGCGAGUAACACGUGGAUAACCUACCUAUAAGACUGGGAUAACUUCGGGAAACCGGAGCUAAUACCGGAUAAUAUUUUGAACCGCAUGGUUCAAAAGUGAAAGACGGUCUUGCUGUCACUUAUAGAUGGAUCCGCGCUGCAUUAGCUAGUUGGUAAGGUAACGGCUUACCAAGGCAACGAUGCAUAGCCGACCUGAGAGGGUGAUCGGCCACACUGGAACUGAGACACGGUUCAGACUCCUACGGGAGGCAGCAGUAGGGAAUCUUCCGCAAUGGGCGAAAGCCUGACGGAGCAACGCCGCGUGAGUGAUGAAGGUCUUCGGAUCGUAAAACUCUGUUAUUAGGGAAGAACAUAUGUGUAAGUAACUGUGCACAUCUUGACGGUACCUAAUCAGAAAGCCACGGCUAACUACGUG